rnacentral:piRNA from 1 species
UGCAAUUUGUCAUGUUGAUGA